AUAGAGGACAGUUUUCAUGGCAGACAUGACAGUGAUGGUGGAGAGGACAUUGGUGGCCGUCUCCUCGUAGCCCUGGUCCUGUAGAAUCUUCACCAGGCUGUCCCACUCAUCUGUACUCGUCUCCAUGUCAUCCAACACAGCAUCGUGGAACAGACUCGUAUUUGGGUCAUCUUUCCUGAAUGAACGGUAGAACCAGAUCAAAGCUGUUGUUCUCUAGCACAGUCAGUAUGACCACUCCCACAGGAAGCGGUCUGGAUCCUUGGUCGUCUGCUGCCACCAGGGCAUGCAUCAGUUGUAGAGAGGGACACAUUCUCAGCACCUCCACAUACAUCUCCUUUGUGAACGGGGACCUACAACCAAACACAAUGACAAUGAAUCAAAGACCAUGUUUUACAAUAUUUUAGUUUAUUAUACGAUGAUCAAUACGUCUUAUUUAUGUUCUUUGUAUAAAAUGUACCAUCAACAGGGACAGAAACGUUUGUAUAUCUUAGUAGUUAUACACAGUCUUACUUGUGUUUGGCGUACUCGAUUCCAGCGUGUACCCUGCCCUGCUUGAGGAGACAGAUGAUGGCUUGGUGGUGGAGGUGGAGCUUGGUGUAGACAUUCUGGGCCAGCGCCUGGCAGCCACACUUACAGGGCACCUUACAGCCACAGUGUCUGCUGAUCAGGUCACCGAUCUGUCUACUCAGCAUCAGUCUGUCAAAAAAACAGAAACAACACUCAACGGCUGAAGGGAACAAACCCAGAACUACUGCAGUAAAAAUCAUCUUUAACCGUUUUACGUUGACUUCUUUUACUAUAAUUCAUUUUAAUGUUUUAAAAAUACUUUUAUCAUUGAAAAAUUUUGGCCAACAGCGUAGUGGACGUGUUUUACAACCGGCAGUAUGUUUACAAUAUUCAGACACAUUUCUUUUACAGUGUUCUGGAUUUCGGUGUUUUCUGAUUACCUGUGUAUUCACUUUAUAGACUUAUUUUUACAUUGUCUUGGUCAUAGUAAUUUUCUGAUUACCUGUCCUGAGAUAUCCAGUGAGACAGCAGAUCCAGUCGGUUUUCGUUUAAGGCACACUCCACACACUCAGUGGACAGCUCGCCGGCCGGCUUACACCCAACGGCGCCUACAGAGGCCAUGAUGGCAUCACAGAACGCCAACAGAGGGGAUCGAUGACUCAGCCUCACCUUCACAUCUACAAGCACACAGACACAAUCAACAGAUCAAAAAGAAACUCUACUUAUCGUAAAACUAAAUAAAUAUGCAAUUUUU
rnacentral:sRNA from 1 species